GAUGAACGCUGGCGGCGUGCCUAAUACAUGCAAGUCGAGCGAACAGACGAGGAGCUUGCUCCUCUGACGUUAGCGGCGGACGGUUUAGUAACACGUGGAUAACCUACCUAUAAGACUGGGAUAACUUCGGGAAACCGGAGCUAAUACCGGAUAAUAUAUUGAACCGCAUGGUUCAAUAGUGAAAGACGGUUUUGCUGUCACUUAUAGAUGGAUCCGCGCCGCAUUAGCUAGUUGGUAAGGUAACGGCUUACCAAGGCGACGAUGCGUAGCCGACCUGAGAGGGUGAUCGGACACACUGGAACUGAGACACGGUCCAGACUCCUACGGGAGGCAGCAGUAGGGAAUCUUCCGCAAUGGGCGAAAGCCUGACGGAGCAAAGCCGCGUGAGUGAUGAAGGUCUUCGGAUCGUAAAACUCUGUUAUUAGGGAAGAACAAAUGUGUAAGUAACUAUGCACGUCUUGACGGUACCUAAUCAGAAAGCCACGGCUAACUACGUG
rnacentral:rRNA from 1 species